UAAGUAAUCUGGUAUGGUUGGUAAAAAUAAGUAAACAAGUGUAGUAAAUGAACAUCUUAAUAAUAAUACUGUAUUAAUGUAUAACAGUGUAUGUAUCUGCAAACACCCUGAGAAUUUUUGCGGUAACCAAAAUUCUUAAAGUUUGCUAAGUUAUAUAGACAUAUUUUAUCUUAAUAUUAAAAAGACUAAGCUAAGUGUUGUUAACAACUAUGUAACCUUCUGCAUUUGCUUUUAAACUUUCUUAUUAUCAUUCUGGUUAAAUAAUAAGUGUUAUUUAAUAACUAUAAUUCUAUUUAGGCAAGUGCCUUAAAAACUUUUGACAACUUCCCAAGACCAAAUUUAAAAAGUAUUUUUACCUCUCAAUUAACUCUGAUAUUUUCCAGAGGGCCCCUGGAACAUGUCAGAGGAAUUUCUUCUCCUCAUCAAGGAAAAUGUUUGAUUAAUUUGGCUUAUUUACCUGAUAUAUACUUACCUGGAAAGCGCUGUCAAAAAGAAUAAUGCUAAACUUUAUUACUGAAUGUUUUAUGUUACAGAAAUAUCACUCUUCCCCCUAAGACACUUACUCCUGAUGCCCAAUUAAAUUUGCUUGUUAGUACUACUAUAAUUACUGAAUGUGUAUGUAUUAAUUGUACUCAUGUACCCUCUUACUGUAACUCUACAAUCAAUGUAAAAUGGUCUUCUAGAUAGAGACUUCCAAAUGGUUGGGUACUUUUGUGUAAUAACAAAACAUAUCAAGCCCUUUCUUCACACUAUCGAGGUGUUUGUGGUGUGGGAUGCAUUCUUCCUGCUCUAAUAGACCAUCCUGGAUAUAAGCGCAAGAGACUUCUCCAAGCUCUGCCAUCCGAUUGUGAUGAAACUUGAAACUUUCAGAUCCUGCUGCUGUUGCAGUUGCAGCUGCAUUCCUUCUGCCGGUUCUGGUUCCUAGACUUGUCAUUGGAAUGCAGAAAGAGAUGUCCAAGCUGGCCUGUGCAUACAGUAAAACAACAAAUCUGACUGCUUCUAUAUUAUCUGAACUCAACCAAGAACUGGGAGAAGUGCAAGCUGCAGUGCUUCAGAAUCGCACUGCUAUAGACAAUCUGCUGUUAAAAGAGUAUGUGGGCUAAAACUAAUGAGACAUUAGACAUAGCCCAAUUACUAUAUUAAAUCAGAUAAAAAGCAUGUUCAAAGAACCCCUGAAUAGUCUCUGGCACACUGUCACACCUCUCUUAACCCUAAGCAUUUUAUGUCUUUUAUUGCUGUUACUAGGGCCUUGUGUCCUUUGCAACAUGUGGAAACUCAUCCAGCAAGCCCUAAGAGACCUGCAUCAUUUGAAAUUGCAGACGGCUCCCCCACUUAUAAAUCAUGAGAUUUAAAGCCAAGUAUGGUAGCCAAUGACGGGAAAAAAGAGCAGCUGAUAUUUCACCAGCUGCCAUCCUCUCUGAAAUGAGCCCCUGUACCUGGGACCCUAUAGGAUGCAAGUGAACAGAAGAGGCUCACCUGAUGUUCUUAUUUUAUGAACCAAAGAGACAUUUUAAUGUUCUAUAAAAAUAAACAAAG